GAUGAACGCUGGCGGCGUGCCUAAUACAUGCAAGUCGAGCGAACAGAUGAGGAGCUUGCUCCUCUGACGUUAGCGGCGGACGGGUGAGUAACACGUGGAUAACCUACCUAUAAGACUGGGAUAACUUCGGGAAACCGGAGCUAAUACCGGAUAAUAUAUUGAACCGCAUGGUUCAAUAGUGAAAGACGGUUUUGCUGUCACUUAUAGAUGGAUCCGCGCCGCAUUAGCUAGUUGGUAAGGUAACGGCUUACCAAGGCAACGAUGCGUAGCCGACCUGAGAGGGUGAUCGGCCACACUGGAACUGAGACACGGUCCAGACUCCUACGGGAGGCAGCAGUAGGGAAUCUUCCGCAAUGGGCGAAAGCCUGACGGAGCAACGCCGCGUGAGUGAUGAAGGUCUUCGGAUCGUAAACCUCUGUUAUUAGGGAAGACCAAAUGUGUAAGUAACUAUGCACGUCUUGACGGUACCUAAUCAGAAAGCCACGGCUAACUACGUG
rnacentral:rRNA from 1 species